CACGUAGGGGACGAGCGUUGUCCGGAUUCAUUGGGCGUAAAGCGCGCGUAGGCGGCUCGGAAAGUCGGUCGUGAAAUGCCGGGGCUCAACCCCGGGACUGCGUCCGAUACUCCCGAGCUGGAGGCAGGUAGGGGAGAUCGGAAUUCCUGGUGUAGCGGUGAAAUGCGCAGAUAUCAGGAGGAACACCGGUGGCGAAGGCGGGUCUCUGGGCAACAACUGACGCUGAGGAGCGAAAGCGUGGGGAGCGAACAGG
rnacentral:rRNA from 1 species